CCUUUGGAGCGUGCAGCCACCAGGUGGCAGCCGAGGCCACGGGCAGACAGAAAAGCUCCCGAAACUGAAGGACUGCCAGGCAGCAGAGUUCCGGAGGGCUCCCAGGACCUUCAACCAGAAAGAGACAGAGCAUAUGCGCAUAUGUAUGUCUGAGCCCGUGCACGGAGGAGGAGUAUGAACAGACACCGCGGGACAGAUGGCUGGACCCUGCAAGGAAUGUACUAUAGAGCCAAUUUUACCGGCAAAGGAAUGGAAGAUCUGAAAGGCUAGGCGAUCCCACAAGCAUCGAGGAGCAGGCUGGAAUUUGAACCAAUCGGCAUGAUUCCCAAGCUCAAGCUUUUGGCCACCCCUGCACUGCCAGGGACAAAAAAAAAAAAAAAAAAAAACCCUGGGAGGAGAGCCAAGCUAGGGAGUCAAGACCCUCCAGCCAGGUCUGGAUGGGAGGCAGGUGCCUCCACCCUGGUCCCAGAGCAAGUU
rnacentral:lncRNA from 1 species